AUGGGAACAAACUUCAGAACGAGGAGAGACAGCAGGGCCCAGGGCACCCUCGCGGGCUGACCCAGGCAGUGAGGGCCUGCGGCCGGCUGGCCAGGGCAGCGGCGUGGCGGCGGGCGCGGCGGGGACCUGCGUGAGGAAGCCCUGAGCCCUCGGCGGGCUGCGAGCGACUCCCCGGCGAUGCCUCACAACUCCAUCAGAUCCGGCCACGGAGGGCUGAACCAGCUGGGCGGGGCCUUUGUGAACGGCAGACCCCUGCCUGAAGUGGUGCGUCAACGCAUCGUGGACCUGGCCCACCAGGGCGUGCGGCCCUGUGACAUCUCCCGCCAGCUCCGAGUCAGCCAUGGCUGUGUCAGCAAGAUCCUUGGCAGUAGGUACUACGAGACCGGCAGCAUCCGGCCUGGAGUGAUAGGGGGCUCCAAGCCCAAGGUGGCCACCCCCAAGGUGGUGGAGAAGAUUGGAGACUAUAAGCGGCAGAACCCCACCAUGUUUGCCUGGGAGAUCCGAGACCGGCUCCUGGCGGAGGGUGUCUGUGACAAUGACACUGUGCCCAGUGUCAGCUCCAUCAACAGAAUCAUCCGGACCAAAGUACAGCAACCGUUCAACCUCCCCAUGGACAGCUGCGUGGCCACCAAGUCCCUGAGCCCAGGACAUACGCUGAUCCCCAGCUCAGCUGUAACGCCCCCAGAGUCACCCCAGUCAGACUCUCUGGGCUCCACCUACUCCAUCAACGGGCUCCUGGGGAUCGCUCAGCCUGGCAGCGACAGCAAGAGGAAAAUGGACGACAGUGACCAGGACAGCUGCCGGCUGAGCAUCGACUCCCAGGGCAGCAGCAGCGGGCCCCGCAAGCACCUGCGCACGGACGCCUUCAGCCAGCACCACCUUGAGCCGCUCGAGUGCCCAUUCGAGAGGCAGCACUACCCGGAGGCCUAUGCCUCCCCCAGCCACACCAAAGGCGAGCAGGUGAGCAGCCAGGGCCUCUACCCGCUGCCCUUGCUCAACAGCGCCGCCCUGGACGACGGCAAGGCCACCCUGACCCCUUCCAACACACCCUUGGGGCGCAACCUCUCGACUCACCAGACCUACCCAGUGGUGGCAGAUCCUCAUUCACCCUUCGCCAUAAAGCAGGAAACCCCCGAGGUGUCCAGUUCUAGCUCCACCCCUUCCUCUUUAUCUAGCUCCGCCUUUUUGGAUCUGCAGCAAGUCGGCUCCGGGGUCCCAGCCGGUGCCUCGGUCCCGCCCUUCAAUGCCUUUCCCCAUGCUGCCUCCGUGUACGGGCAGUUCACGGGCCAGGCGCUCCUCUCAGGGAGAGAGAUGGUGGGACCCACGCUGCCCGGAUACCCACCCCACAUCCCCACCAGUGGGCAGGGCAGCUAUGCCUCUUCUGCCAUCGCAGGCAUGGUGGCAGGAAGUGAAUACUCGGGCAAUGCCUACGGCCACACCCCCUACUCCUCCUACAGCGAGGCCUGGCGCUUCCCCAACUCCAGCUUGCUGAGUUCCCCAUAUUAUUACAGUUCCACAUCAAGGCCAAGUGCGCCACCCACCACCGCCACGGCCUUUGACCAUCUGUAGUUGCUAUGGGGACAGUGGGAGCAACUGAGCACCAGGAGGACUUGGCCUGGGACAGGCCCCAGAGAGUCACACAAAGGAAUCUUUAUUUAUUACAUGAAAAAUAACCACAAGUCCAGCAUUGCGGCGCACUCCCUGUGUGGUUGAUUUAAUGAACCAUGAAAGACAGGAUGACUUUGGAGAAGGCCAAACUGUCCUCUAAGACUCCUUAAUGAGUGGCAGAAGUCCCAGGGAGAACUGUCCCGUUCCAAAAGAGACACACUUGGAGGAGAAAUAUGGAGAGAAGAGCGGAGCAGCCGAGGAGCUCGAGAGGGAUGGCGCAUGGGCCCACGAUGGGCUUAGGGCCACACCGAGGCCCCCGUGGCUCCACCAUCGACAUGCUCUUGCAGGCACGGGCUGUGCGCACUUCUGUCCAGCCCCCACACCGCAGCUGGGCGCCCAGGCUCUCCCUCGCCGCCCCCCUGAGAGUCACCUCCCGCCUGCCCCACAGCUGAGGCUCCGGCUGUCCACCUUCUCCACUCAGUUUGCUUGGCAUUUCUGCACCUCCCUCUUGGCCAGGGCUGAGGGCUGGGUUGAGUCGAAGCCCGAAGCUCCACCUGAUGGUCCCCGGGGCCUUCCUGUUGCCUGCUGCUGAGAAUGUAUGUUUCACGCCGGGCGGCCACUUAUCCUCAACUUUGAUUUCCACUGUGAAUGAACACAGGAUAAAAUGAGCACAUGACACGGUGCCGGGCCAAUCGUAGACUCUCAAGUAGUCGCUCUGGUUAAUCACAGGAAGCCAGAGAGUCGGCGGGGAGCACUGGUGAAGGUUCCGGGAACACGAUAUACUGGAGCCUGCAUAACGGCUCCCGCGCCCCCUGUAGCAGGAGAGGAGGUGGGGGGGGGGAAGAUGUUCUCCGGGCCGUGCCGUGUGCCGGGCUCUGUGCGAAGGGCCUCACGUAAAUAAGUUGGGAGUAGCCCCAUUGGACAAUUUGAGGAAACUGAGGCUCGGACAGAAUGAAAUAACUUGCCCAAGGUGGGAAGUGGUGGGUUCAAUCAAACCCUCUUGGGAAGACUGAGCAGUGGGGAGGCCCUGGGUGUGCAGGGCCAGGAAGGGCGGAGGGAGCCUGCGGGGACCGCAGACAAUCCCUGUCUAAGAAGAGCUGGAGAACAAGGGUCAACACACAAUGGUGGCCGCAAGGGCUCUGCCCCCACCAGGGUGCUUGGCCUGUGGGCACCCUCUCCAUGUGGGGGUGCCGCUGAAACAAGGUGGGGCAAGGUGCCCAGGUGAAUGCUGACAGCAGGGCAGACAACUGAGUUUGAGUCAGAGGAAGAGAGAAUUCCUCACCCACCAGGGACUCCAAGACUGGGAGGGCUGAGGAGGAGACAUCGGGCUCUUACCCCCUGGUCCUCCCUAAAGAGAGGCCAGGGAUGCUCACCAAGGAUGGCGUGAGAAUAGAGCCACGGGAUCGUCCCACAGAGAAAAUCAGUCUCAUCUCUUCUGAGGGGACGCGAGUCGAGGCUCGUUGUCCACUAACGGCACUUCCCUCUGGCUACAAGCAUGGCAGCAGGACUGAAUCCCUUCAUAUCUGCGGCUCCUCAUCAUCUCCAGCCUCGGGGUCCCUGAGUGCCCUAAAAGAGCCUCCCACCUGGUUCUGAGGAACAAUGAACCCCCUCAUCCAAGAUCACUUUUGAGAUGCACGGUGCCCCAAGGAGCCUGCAGAGCGAUUUUGCGUUUGCAGCCAAAGCCCUCUCUGGAACACUUGGUGCCCCUGGCAGGCCUUCUCCAAACCCCAAAUGGCAAAGGGACUUGGGCUGUGCUUUUGCUGGCGGUGACCCUGGUUCAGAACUCCCUUUUCUUUCUCUGAGGUGGGCUGAGCAGUGCAGGGCACUCUGCCUAAAGCAGGUGCUGGUGAGUGUGUGGUGUGGGCCAAGGGCAGUGUGUCCUGGCCGGUACCUAUUCAGACAUUCAAUCCAUGGUCAAACCGUGGUCCCCCUUUGGAAAAUGCAGUCAUCUAUGUAUUGGGGGAAAGCAAUGAUUUGAGGUGCCCCAGCAUUGGAGACGCUGUUGAGAGAUGUUGGGGCAGCACAGGCAGGGCUUGGUAAAGGAGUAUGAGGAGGAAGGGGGGGUGGGGACAUAGCGUUUGGCUUACCAUGUAGCAAGGUUUCUGUGAAAGCCUGUGGGAGUAGAACGUGUGGGGGUGGGGAGAACUGAGGAUGAAGCCUGGGCCUGAGCAUUCCCAGGGCACAGAGGGCCCAGCCUCACCCUAGCAACGGGAGCAAUCCCGGUCAGAUCCCAUGUGUGGACGCCUCCUCAGCCUUCCGGGCAGCUCUCCCCGCUCCUGCUCCCUCAUCUUCACUCAUCCGCUUCAGUGACCUGCCCCUCACCCCUCCUAGCACGGCCAGGCCAGCCCAGGGUACCAGGAGCUCGCAGAGGUCUGAGCCGGCCAGGCAGCCCCUGCAGGCGGCCGAAGGGGUUCCUGCUAGGAGACAGAGCAGCUCAGACCAGGUGGAGCUGGGCCACCAGGUGGAGCUGGGCCACCAGGUGGAGUAGAGCCCAUCUUUCUAAGGUGGGCUGGAGCUGGUGUGACCCUUGGGCCCCUACCGCACAGCCCGCAGUGGUGGGGACAGGGGCAGCUGCGAGUCCUGCCUCCAAGGCCAGCCCCAGGCUGGUUCCACACCCUACCCCUUCUCCGAUGUUCUUGCCGUACGUUGUUACUAAAGAGAGUGUAUUUUCCACGGGGGCAUGCACUCCACCCUGUCAACAAGCUCAGGCAAGAGGACUUCACGGCCACAGUCUACAGAUGGGAAACAGGGGACCAGCGAAGUUGAGGCACUCGCUAGGAUCGCCCCUCUCCUGCCUGCCCUCCCCAUCCUCCUGCUUCCUUCCCCAAAUGCACACACCUUUUCCAGUGUGUACCCACCUAGGUCCUCAUUAGGCGAUUCUUGAUGUCCUUGUCCUUCGGGGUGGGUGCAGGAGGAGGGGCCUAGAGACCUCAGUGCCCCUCAUCAGUGGGACUGAGCUUCGGGGGCAGAGGGAAGCCGGUGGGGAUUGGGGCUCCUUGCCCAGCCCCCUUCGCUCCCUACUUAAAUGCCCCCCUUCCUCUUCCCUCAUCCUCGGAAGAUAUACUAACCCUUCACAUAAGCUUAGUUUCUGUUUAUAAAACUCACCGCAUCAAUCUUUGUCUCUGUUCCUGAACGUUGGCUCCAUUUGGCACUGGAGAAACUGAGAGCAAAAGAUUACUUGACUUUUUCAAGGUCAUUCAGAGGAGCAGGGACCACAGCCCAACCCCUCAUCUAAGGCCAACUCUGCAUCCUAAUCCAAGGCCUGGAUACCCAGACGUGGCCAGGCCUCUGCAGAGACCUCAAGCAGCUGUGACUUUGUGGGGAAGAACAGAAGGCCCGUGACCACCUAGGGCACUGCCAUGACAGGGCCAACAGUCCGGGAUGGAAGGCCCAGAUGUCAGGCUACAGGUGGAGAAGGAGUGCAGGGCGGGGGUGAUCCUGGUUCCCCUCUGCCCCUGGCCCUGAGUGGCUCCUCAGGCCAUCCCUUGGCAGCCAUUCUCCUACCUUCAGGGUCACACAGCAUUUCUGUCUGUAGGGGAUCUCACUGUUCCUCUGCCGCAGCUUAUGGGUCACCCUCCAGAGGGAGUGAGCCAGCUGAGUGACCAUGACCGUGAUUCUUGUGGCGAAAACCCCGACCUUCAACCUCUCUCACCUCUUUGUCCUGACACUUUACUCUCUUAGUUUCUAUUCCAGUCCCUCCUCUGCGGGAUCUGACUCAAUUAUUCCUUUGCCCACCCCCCGCCCAGUUGGCCUCUGCAGGGGUGUGGAAGUGGGAGAGAGCAGGUGAGUUCUCCGGAAGGGCUCAGGGGUCCUGCGUCCUGCUCCACAAAUGCCAGGACGCUUUUCUCCUCUCUCCAUCUCCUAAUGUUUUGGCUCCUUGUUCUCUUCAUUACCUUCCUCUGUUCCUCUUGCUCUUCGGGGGACUCGGGGACACAGGCACAGAGGCCCCGGCUCCUGAGGGCAGGUGCGCGUGCCCGCUGCUGUCCGCUCGCUCGGGCAGUCGCACCCCACCACCUUCAACCCCACCUGCAGCGUCACAGGCCCUGGGACAGAACCAGCUGGCCGGCCUUCGAAGACGCGGGAGGCCACGGGCAAGGCGGGCCCCCUGCUGGCCCGCAUCCCUGCCCCCCGCCGCCCCCCCCCCCCCCCGACGGCACCCUGUCUCCCUCCUCUUGCAAAGCCACAGAGGCCGCCCGGGGAUUCGGGGGGCCGGACCGGGGACUCCGGGGCGGCGGCGGGAAGCGGGGCUCUGGCUGAGGGGAGGAGGGAGGCCGGGCGCAGCCCCGUGCCCCGUGGCAGCUGGCCAGGUCGUGGAGCGGAGCGCAGCCUGCGGCUCUCCCAGGGAAAUGUGAUUUCCCCUUGAGUGAAGCGGACUGUGCAGUGUGGAAAUUGGCUCUUUUCUGAGCGAGCGGCGGCUGUUCUGGAGUCGGGGCGGGCUGGGGCCCGCGGGAGGCCGCGCCGGCCCCUGGAGUGAGCCGGGAGCAGCCAUGUGCUCAGAACUCAUUAGGGAUAAAUCAAACCAGUACCAGCAUGAAGCCAACACCCUCCACCGCCCCCCCCCCCCCCGCGCCUCGGGUCCCCACCCCCUCCGAGACCCCCUACUACCACCACCUCCUCCUCCUCCGCAGCCCAGGCCCCCUCCCCCACGCCAGGGAGCUGCGCCCACCGCACACACAACCGCACACUCAGCCUGCCACCCACUCCAGGAGUGGGCCUCCAACGGGAGCCCUGUUCCUUCGCAAAUAAAUCCUGGUUGUCUGGUUUUUGUUUGUUUGCUUUGGGGAGGGGGUACUGGUAGCAAGCCUAACUCCCCG